AUGAUUGUCGCUUUCGCCUCUUUUCUUUGUCCCAACUCUAGCCUCUGCCCUAGCCCAAAGUACCUCCAUAUAUUCAGGGAUUGUCGGUCUGUGUGUACCUAUGAUCUGUCCCAGUUUGUUUAUGAGUGGCUUUUGAGUAGCAUCAAAAAGUUUAAGGACUCCACUAAAGUUGCUUCCAAGAGAUCAGUCACGUUUGGUGGUUGUCACUCUGCUUUUGCUGUUUCCUACCUUGACCAUCUUAAUUUUGGUCUUCACUCAAUUUCUGAUGCGAAACCUUGGAUUCUAGCGUGGAGAGGGAACAAAGUCAAACAGUUUGCAGAGCUUGAUAAAAACAAUAGCCGCUCUUAUGGAAAGAGGCCAUUGAAGCGAGCAUGUACUUCAUUUAAUUUCUAG
rnacentral:rRNA from 1 species